UACGGAGGGGACUAGCGUUGUUCGGAAUUACUGGGCGUAAAGCGCACGUAGGCGGAUUUGUAAGUCAGGGGUGAAAUCCCGGGGCUCAACCUCGGAACUGCCUUUGAUACUGCAAAUCUCGAGUCCGGAAGAGGUGAGUGGAAUUCCUAGUGUAGAGGUGAAAUUCGUAGAUAUUAGGAAGAACACCAGUGGCGAAGGCGACUCACUGGUCCGGUACUGACGCUGAGGUGCGAAAGCGUGGGGAGCAAACAGG
rnacentral:rRNA from 1 species